AUUGACCGCUGGCGGCAGGCCUAACACAUGCAAGUCGAACGAGUGGCGGACGGGUGAGUAAUGUCUGUGAAACUGCCCGAUGGAGGGGGAUAACUACUGGAAACGGUAGCUAAUACCGCAUACCAUCAGAUGUUCCCAGAUGGGAUUAGCUAGUAGGUGGGGUAAUGUCUCACCUAGGCGACGAUCCCUAGCUGGUCUGAGAGGAUGACCAGCAACACUGGAACUGAGAAACGGGCCAGAAGCCUACGUGAGGCAGCAGUGGGGAAGAUUGAACAAUGGGCGAAAGCCUGAUGCAGCCAUGCCGAGUGUAUGAAGAAGGCCUUCGGGUUGGAAAGUACUUUCAGCGAGGAGGCGUUACUAGAAGAAGAAGCACCGGCGAACUCCGUGCCAGCAGCCGCGGUAAUAC
rnacentral:rRNA from 1 species